UAAUACAGAGGGUGCAAGCGUUAAUCGGAAUUACUGGGCGUAAAGGGUGCGUAGGCGGUUAUAUAAGUUAGAUGUGAAAUCCCUAGGCUUAACCUGGGAACUGCGUUUAAUACUGUAUAGCUAGAGUACUGAAGAGGUUAGUGGAAUUUCCAGUGUAGCGGUGAAAUGCGUAGAUAUUGGAAGGAACACCAGUGGCGAAGGCGACUAACUGGUCAGAUACUGACGCUGAGGCACGAAAGCGUGGGGAGCAAACAGGAUUAGAUACCCUGGUAGUCCACGCCGUAAACGAUGAGAACUUGCUGUUGGGCACGUUUAGUGCAAAGUAGCGAAGCUAACGCGAUAAGUUCUCCGCCUGGGGAGUACGGCCGCAAGGUUA
rnacentral:rRNA from 1 species